ACUCCUACGGGAGGCAGCAGUAGGGAAUAUUGGACAAUGGGCGAAAGCCUGAUCCAGCAAUGCCGCGUGAGUGAUGAAGGCCUUAGGGGUUGUAAAGCUCUUUUACCCGGGAUGAUAAUGACAGUACCGGGAGAAUAAGCUCCGGCUAACUCCGUGCCAGCAGCCGCGGUAAUACGGAGGGAGCUAGCGUUGUUCGGAAUUACUGGGCGUAAAGCGCACGUAGGCGGCUAUUCAAGUCAGAGGUGAAAGCCCGGGGCUCAACCCCGGAACUGCCUUUGAAACUAGAUAGCUUGAAUCCAGGAGAGGUGAGUGGAAUUCCGAGUGUAGAGGUGAAAUUCGUAGAUAUUCGGAAGAACACCAGUGGCGAAGGCGGCUCACUGGACUGGUAUUGACGCUGAGGUGCGAAAGCGUGGGAGCAAACAGGAUUAGAUACCCUGGUAGCGACUGA
rnacentral:rRNA from 1 species